UGGGUUGUGGCUCAGUGGUAGAGCACUUGCCUCAAAUGUGUGAGGCACUGUGUUCGCUUCUCAGCACUGCAU
rnacentral:tRNA from 1 species